UGUAAAUCGAUUUAAAUAAAAAAAAUCUGAUUUAAAUCAAGUAAAUCGAUUUUUUUAUAUUUUUUUUAGAAAAAUCAUGAUUUUUUCCAACCCUAUUAAAAUUUGCUUUAGGUGUGGUGUGGGCCUCAAAAGUUUGGAAAGAUGAGCUCCCAUUAUAUUGUCUGUAGAUGCAGUUUGCUCUUGAAUCGUCACUUGCCAUUUGUCUCUCAUACCGCAUUGUUAUUUACUGCCCACAAUCCUGGGCGAGGCUGCAAGUUGCAUAGUUCCAUGGCAACUCACUACCACAACUCAUUCUCUUGAAGCUACACGUGUAUGAUGGACAGUCUUCUCAAUGGCGAUUGAAAAAACUACCUAAUAGCAUUGUUCUCUCAGUUUUUACGCAUUGUUUUAUUAGGUCCAGUAUCACAAUUGUUUUAUUAGGUCCAGUAUCGCAAUUGUUUUAUUAGGUCCAGUAUCGCAAUUGUUUUAUUAGGUCCAGUAUCGCAAUUGUUUUAUUAGGUCCAGUAUCGCAAUUGUUUUAUUAGGUCCAGUAUCGCAAUUGUUUUAUUAGGUCCAGUAUCGCAAUUGUUUUAUUAGGUCCAGUAUCGCAAUUGUUUUAUUAGGUCCAGUAUCGCAAUUGUUUUAUUAGGUCCAGUAUCGCAAUUGUUUUAUUAGGUCCAGUAUCGCAAUUGUUUUAUUAGGUCCAGUAU